UACAGAGGUGGCAAGCGUUUGUUCGGAAUUACUGGGCGUAAAGGGCGCGUAGGCGGUUCGUUAAGUCCUGUGUGAAAUCCCCCGGCUCAACUGGGGAACUGCACAGGAAACUAGCGGGCUUGAGUUCGGGAGAGGGAAGCGGGAAUUCCGGGUGUAGCGGUGAAAUGCGUAGGAUAUCCGGGAGGAACACCGGGUGGCGAAGGCGGCUUCCUGG
rnacentral:rRNA from 1 species